AUUGAACGCUGGCGGCAGGCCUAACACAUGCAAGUCGAACGGUAACAGGAAGAAGCUUGCUUCUUUGCUGACGAGUGGCGGACGGGUGAGUAAUGUCUGGGAAACUGCCUGAUGGAGGGGGAUAACUACUGGAAACGGUAGCUAAUACCGCAUAAUGUCGCAAGACCAAAGAGGGGGACCUUCGGGCCUCUUGCCAUCGGAUGUGCCCAGAUGGGAUUAGCUAGUAGGUGGGGUAACGGCUCACCUAGGCGACGAUCCCUAGCUGGUCUGAGAGGAUGACCAGCCACACUGGAACUGAGACACGGUCCAGACUCCUACGGGAGGCAGCAGUGGGGAAUAUUGCACAAUGGGCGCAAGCCUGAUGCAGCUAUGCCGCGUGUAUGAAGAAGGCCUUCGGGUUGUAAAGUACUUUCAGCGGGGAGGAAGGGAGUAAAGUUAAUACCUUUGCUCAUUGACGUUACCCGCAGAAGAAGCACCGGCUAACUCUGUG
rnacentral:rRNA from 1 species